GAAGCUGGAGUUACUAGUAAUCGCAGAUCAGAAUGCUGCGGUGAAUGCGUUCCCGGGUCUUGUACACACCGCCCGUCACACCACGGAAGUUGGGGGCGCCCCGAAGCCACUUAGCUAACCCUUUGGGAAGCGAGUGUCGAAGGUGAAAUCAAUAACUGGGGUGAAGUCGUAACAAGGUAUC
rnacentral:rRNA from 1 species